rnacentral:rRNA from 1 species
AACGACUCUCGGCAACGGAUAUCUCGGCUCUCGCAUCGAUGAAGAACGUAGCGAAAUGCGAUACUUGGUGUGAAUUGCAGAAUCCCGUGAACCAUCGAGUUUUUGAACAGCAAGUUGCGCCCUAGGCCAUCCGCUUGAGGGCACGCCUGCCUGGGCGUCACGC